rnacentral:rRNA from 1 species
GACGAACCGUGCGAACGUUGUUCGGAAUCACUGGGCUUAAAGGGCGCGUAGGCGGGCGCGCAAGCCCGCGGUGAAAGCCCCCGGCUCAACCGGGGAACGGCCGCGGGGACUGCACGCCUCGAGGGGGGUAGGGGCGCGCGGAACGCCGGGUGGAGCGGUGAAAUGCGUUGAUAUCCGGCGGAACUCCGGUGGCGAAAGCGGCGCGCUGGGCCCCCUCUGACGCUGAGGCGCGAAAGCCAGGGGAGCGAACAGG